AAUCACAGUCGAGAAGCACUGGAAUGCUUCCAGCCUAUGGCGCUAGGAUCCUGGUAGCGAAGAAACGAAACUGAAAUUUGAAGUGUUGUGCAGCUAGCUUAGAGUGGCUGCUGAACUUAAGCGUGAUUAAGAGCUGCUUGCGCCUGGGUGGAGCUGAAACUGCACAAGGUAAAUAAUACCUUUGUACAACAGAAGAAAAAAAAAAACAGCAUACAUGCAAACCCAAAGGACAAUGGAAAGAAGCUGUUUAGUAUAAUAAUUUAUAUCACUCCAGGCAAAACCUCUAGCUUGCCUUGCUUCACCUUACAAAACAAAAUGAACAUUGCACCCUAAGCAUUUUACUCCUGGUUUAAUUUUAGAUCCUGGCCUGCUGAAUUGGGCUUUAUUUGUCCUUCCCUUUUAUGCCACCCCUAGGAAGUCAGACAUUCAGAAAAUAAUAACUAUUUGUCUUCUAAGUUGUUACUUAAUGUUUACAUAAGAAGCAAUUUAAAAUAUUCCCUUGCUAAUUUUUGUACAUAUCAUUGACCUUCUUCCUUACCUGUAUUGUUCAUUAAUUCUGUCAAGAAGAGGGACAGAUUUACACAAUUCCCUAAAAGUGACUAGUGGCCAAUGUAUUUUUUUUCUUGGAGACUAGUACUGUAUUAAAUAGGAUUAUUUUAACAUUUCAUAAAGUAUUAGGUGCUACUUAAAUUACUUCUGGGGAACCACAUUUAAAACAAUUUUAGCAUUGUUUUAAAGUAAGUUCUGUAAUCAGUACCAUCCUUUUUUCUUCUAGCUCUAGUUUUAAAAGCAGAGGACUAGAGGACUCAUUACUAGAGUAUUUUUAAUUCAGUGUAUAUUUAUAGUGGCACCUGUGGAAUUCAGUGGUGAAAUUAAGUAAUUUGAAAUCUAAGCUGUUGGAACUCCAAAUUAUUUUGAGCCUUAAAAGAAUGUGAUUAUGGGGCCUGAAAAGCAGCUAUAUCCUAGGCAGCUGUAACCAGGCAGCUGUAAACUUUGUUUCUCUGAUUAUAGACCUUCUUUCUUACCUGUAUUGGUUUGUAAAAUGUUGUAAAUGACUGAAGAGUGUCAGGGAAAACCUCUCCCCUCUCCAUUGUUGAUCUUCAUUAUAGAUUAGCCUCCCUCUUACCUUUCUCACAUGAAGACUUAAUAACUAUCUCUUUAUCUCAAGAUGAAAUGUUAAAUACACUCUUUUAAAUUGGAAACAAAAUUAAAAUCCUCUAUAAAGAAAACAAGCUGUAUGGAAAAGAAAACAAAUGAAUUAAUGUGUUGUAAUUCUCAAACCAGCCUUGUAUAGAAAAUGUUGUGAUCCUGUUAAAUUUCUUUGUCUUCUUCCUAUAAAAGCAAGAACUUACUUUUAACUUCAGAGCACUGACCCCAUUUCUGUGGAGUCUGCGUGAGCUGGAAUGGCUAUUAACCAGCUUUUCGCUUGAAUAAACUCUUUAGAACACGAUUCUGACCCUUUUCA
rnacentral:lncRNA from 1 species